rnacentral:rRNA from 1 species
GACGAACGCUGGCGGCGUGCUUAACACAUGCAAGUCGAGCGGAAAGGCCACUUCGGUGGUCCUCGAGCGGCGAACGGGUGAGUAACACGUGAGUAAUCUGCCCCUCACUUUGGGAUAGCCACCGGAAACGGUGAUUAAUACCGGAUAUGACCAUAUGUCGCAUGGCGUGUGGUGGAAAGUUUUUCGGUGAGGGAUGUGCUCGCGGCCUAUCAGCUUGAUGGUGAGGUAAUGGCUCACCAUGGCUUCAACGGGUAGCCGGCCUGAGAGGGUGACCGGUCACACUGGGACUGAGACACGGCCCAGACUCCUACGGGAGGCAGCAGUGGGGAAUAUUGGACAAUGGGCGGAAGCCUGAUCCAGCAACGCCGCGUGAGGGAUGACGGCCUUCGGGUUGUAAACCUCUUUCAGUACCGACGAAGCGCAAGUGACGGUAGGUACAGAAGAAGCACCGGCCAACUACGUG